GAUGAAGAACGCAGCGAAAUGCGAUAAGUAAUGUGAAUUGCAGAAUUCAGUGAAUCAUCGAAUCUUUGAACGCACAUUGCGCCCGUCAGCAUUCUGGCGGGCAUGCCUGUUCGAGCGUCAUUACGCCCCUCAAGUCCCCUGUGGACUUGGUGUUGGGGAUCGGCGAGGCUGGUUUUCCAGCACAGCCGUCCCUUAAAUUAAUUGGCGGUCUCGCCGUGGCCCUCCUCUGCGCAGUAGUAAAACACUCGCAACAGGAGCCCGGCGCGGUCCACUGCCGUAAAACCCCCCAACUUUUUAUAGUUGACCUCGAAUCAGGUAGGACUACCCGCUGAACUUAAGCAUAUCAAUAAGCGGAGGA
rnacentral:misc_RNA from 1 species